rnacentral:rRNA from 1 species
UACGAAGGGGGCUAGCGUUGUUCGGAAUCACUGGGCGUAAAGCGCACGUAGGCGGAUGUGUCAGUCAGGGGUGAAAUCCCGGGGCUCAACCUCGGAACUGCCUCUGAUACAGCACAUCUUGAGUCCGGAAGAGGUGGGUGGAAUUCCUAGUGUAGAGGUGAAAUUCGUAGAUAUUGGGAGGAACACCAGUGGCGAAGGCGGCUCACUGGACCGGUACUGACGCUGAGGCGCGAAAGCGCGGGGAGCAAACAGG